ACAGAGGGGGCAAGCGUUGUUCGGAAUUACUGGGCGUAAAGGGCGCGUAGGCGGCCUUCUAAGUCGAACGUGAAAUCCCCGGGCUCAACCCGGGAACUGCGUCCGAUACUGGAAGGCUUGAAUUCGGGAGAGGGAUGCGGAAUUCCAGGUGUAGCGGUGAAAUGCGUAGAUAUCUGGAGGAAGACCGGUGGCGAAGGCGGUCUGCUGGGCAGUUUCUGACACUGAUGCGCGACAGCGUGGGGAGCAAACAGGA
rnacentral:rRNA from 1 species